AGCACCUGCAGGCGGAGACGGACAGUCGACGUCGAUCUGUGGACGGUGGAGGAGACUGAACUUUGACACCGUCGUCUGGAGGCCGCGCAGCUGAACUCUGAAGAACUGGAGUUAAAACCUAAAAAACACGGGUGAAGAAACGACAACGAAGAACAGGACAUCCAUUGUCCAUCCGUCCAUCCGUCCGUCCAUCCGUCCGUCCGUCCAUCCAUCAUGACAGAUCUUUCCUCCAGCUGGUGGAAGUUCUCAUUUAUGAGGAAACCUAAAUCCCAGCCCAAGGUUCUCCAUGAGAUCCCUGCAGAGUCUGUCUCCAACAGCACCAGCGGUCAGCACGGGUCCGCAGGGGGCGCUGAAGUCGACUCGCAGCUGGAGGCCCGCCUGGAGAGGAUCGUAGAUAAAACAACAGGGACGAAGGGACGCCACGUCAAGGUCUCACACUCCGGACGAUACAAGGAGCAGAAGAGGGUUCGCACCACGCUGACGGAGAACCAGGAGAUGUUCCGAGGAGAAAACCCUGCCACGGACGAGAACCAGAGGGUCAGGAAGUGAAGAGGAUUCAGAGGAAUGUUCACAAAUUUGCACUAACGGUGAUGGAGACCAGAGGAGGAGAAUAAAGACACGUUUGUCUCUGUCUUUAUGGCUGUGAUAAUAGAACGAGACAUAAAACACAGAUAUGAGCCCGUGAUAAUCAAAACAUUUCUGAAGGAGAUAGUGGAGGGUCAAGGUUCAAAACCUCUCUGACCUUUGUACCAAACACGUGCUUGACAGUUUCGGGUGUCAGUGGAAACAACAGACUUUUUUUUUUCUUUUCUUCUUCUUUCUUUUAGCAUUAGCUGCACCUUCAUCAGUCAAAAAGUCCUCAGACAGAAGUGUUGACUUCUGUGGGUGUCUAAUGUUAAUGACUAAAACCAGUUCAGACUGGUUUCUGUGCCAGUUUCAUCAUCACUUCUUUGUCCAGUGUUGACCUGUGACCUUUGAUUGGAUCAGAUUUUUGUUUAAGUUUUUAAAAAUUAGAGCAAACGUCACAUUUUUAACCAAACCUGCACAGAAACCUGUUCAACUUUACUUUUAUUUUUGUUUUCAAGAGAAUUCAUUAAAAAAAAAAAAUUUAGUCUAUUUUUUCAGUCAAUAGACUUUAAAAAAGCCUUGUUAGAUUCAGCUGCUAAAGCAACAGAAUCAACAAUCUUAAGUUGACAAUUAUAAGAGAACGAGCUUUAGUUCAUGCAUGUUUUAUUAUUAUUAUUAUCAUUAUUAUUGUCUUUUCAAAUUUCUUUGAAUAUGACGUGGGAUUUUUCUUUACUGUUUAAAUGACUUAAAGUGAUCAUAGGGUUGAGUGUGUGGUUGAAGGGUUGCUGUUUCAAAUCUAGGCCCCUAGGGGGCAGUCAAGUGCACUAAUGUCUUCAAUGCUGAAGAAACAGAUCAUAUAUGAAAAUGUGUCUACAUUUGUCAGUAGUGUUUUGGACAGACCUGGUCAGUGAACGUAGCAUCGCCGAGCUCCGACACCUGAGGUCGCUGUUCGCAGCCUGGGCAGCAGUGGAGGAGGAAACAGUGGCCGGAAGUCUCUCUACGCAACAAAAGAAACACUGGGGAAAGUGUCACUGCAGCAGUGAAACUCAGGGUUAUAAAAGUGUACAGUGAAAAUGAUCAUAAAAACUCUGUGACCACGAGGCAAUCAUUAGGUUUUAGUUUGUACUGCAGGUUUAGCAGCUUAACUUUUCAUAAAUCAUACGGGUUAAAGUUUUUACACUGGGGUUAAAUGUGCAAUAACAUGUUGUUAAAAUUAAAGUCUUUUUUUUUCUGCGGCGAGUGAAGCAUGACUUGACAGGAGUGUUGAUGCUUCUAGAAUAAACUAAUGAAAAAAACAAACACAACAUUAAAUAAUAGCUUUGCUAUUUCUGAACCAUCAUCUCUGUGUUCACUUUCUUAGUAAUUUGUAGUAUUUCAUUAUUUAGGAGGAUUUUUUUUAAAGCAAGGCUUAAAAUAUAUAUAUAUAGGUCAAUUCUGCCAUCUACUGGUCAGUUACAAAGUUACACAGGAUUGAUGAUUCAUCUCCAGGUUAUUUUUUACAAUCAUCUUCUGAUUUGUCAUUUUAAAAUCGACAUUUUUUUUAAAAAAAAAUCAACAAUUAAUCAAAAUAAAGACAGUUUUCUAAGUUAUUACACACCAAAUAACAACAUUUACUGAUUGUAAAGUCAGUAAAGAGUUGUUUCUAUAAAUAUUAAAAGUAACUAGUAACAAAUUUGCACCAAAACGAAUUUAAAUAUAUCUUAAUAAACCAUUUUAAGAGCUUUAAUUCUUUGUCUCUAUUCAGAGGACGAUCCUUGUGUUUAAAAUGGCGGCGGUCAGGUGAUGAUGACGUCGACUGCAGGUAAUCCAGGAGACAGUGUCCAUUUUCUCAUCUUUUAAUAACACAUUCAUAUCUAUGCUCUGUUUUGUUUACAAGGAGUUUAAAACAAGUGUUGAUGAUGACUAAAGGAAUCAGACGAGGGGAACAGGGGGGGUGAAAGUCAUUAUACAGUGAAGAGUGAAGGCGCCACCUGCUGGGAGGAAGGAGACCUCGUCCCUCUCACAUUGCAUCUGGGACAGAGAGCGUCUCCACCCGCCAGGGUUGCAGGGUUUGAUCGAAUCAGAGAGUGAAGGGUUCGAAUCUGUGCAGCCUGGGGUGGGGGGCGGACGACACUCCGGCCUCCCUCCUCCCGUGACAGCGCCCCCCUCUGGUUAAACAACAGGUCCUUAUGCUAUUUUAAACAAUUCAUCAGAAGUGAAAAUAGAUCAUCAUCAGUGUAGCAGGUCCUAACUGUAGGCUUUUCACAGAAAGAAAAUGCUAAAUGCACCCAAACAUGAUGGAUACAAUCUGCUGUCAUUAAAGGACAAAACGAAGAGAGAGAGAAAUUAGAAACAAAAACAUGAAGAGUAUUUGUAAGAUUUUCUCUUAAACAAAAAAAGUGUAAGUUUAAUGAAAUCAAAGAAAAUGUAAAUAAAUUGUAAAAAAAAAAGUCGAUUUAAUGUUUUUCAAAGAAAAAAAAAUUA